UCUGUGGAUUCAAUAAACAGAACCCAUUACCUCACGACCGCUUUUGUUGGCCCCAUUCAAGUGAGAACAAAAUGGUUAUUCAGAACGCUUUAGGUUUUUAUUGUGGGUAGUAUUCACAAAGAGCUGUGUUGUAUUAAAAAGAACCAUCUGUAGCAGAAACAAUGGCUUCAAAUUAUCUUUGAAUACCCACUGAAAAACAUAAAGCUUUUCCUCCUCGUUGUGUGCAGUGAGGGUAUAAAGCGAACUUGGUAGCUGACUUUUUGGUGUUCUUGACGCAUUCCUCAAAUCGUCACCUUUUCGGUUUUCUUUUGCGACGAACCGGUCUGCUUUUGUUUUGGGUAGCGAGAUAAGGCAAACGUUUACCGAGCGGGCUAGAUGGGCACACUCUUAAGGAGCUGUCGCGUCUCGGGAAAGCGGACGGAGCAUCGCGAAGCUGGGAAUUUGAAUGCCGUGGAAGGAUGCGGUCUCCAAGCCGCAUCAAUGGAGAUCUAUGCUGCUGAAAUAGCUACAUUUAUAGUCUGAAAGAUGUAGUAAACCAUCCUACCAAUCAAUGUUCUUCGGAGAGCACCAGACCGGACUACAGUGAUGGUAAUGGGAUUUUCUGGACACCUGUGCAAGGGCUGCACAUCCAGGGGAUUAUAACGAAGGGACGGGAACGGGUGUUUGUAAACAGCUGAUGACAUGGCGACGCGAGGCUGAGAACGGGAGACGAGCGCCACAGAAGCAGCGAAACGCACGCGUGGCCGUCAGACGACGCUCAGCGACGAGGCGGAUCCAGACAGCGCGGCUUGUCGGCGGCCCGGCGGCGGGAGCGGGACGGAGAAAACUCCAUUGGCUAAAGGCAAACUGGAAUCUCCUCCAGGUGCUCCUAGGUAGCAGAGUGGGCGGGGCCAUCUCCUUCUGUCCUCCCCAAGUGCCAUCAAUCACCUUUCAACUCUUCCCUGAGGACAGAAUCCAAGAAAGGUCAUCUUACCUGUCUCAUUACCACAGCCGUCAAUGCGACUGUGCUGUAUGCGUGUGUGAGGUCUGAACAUAACAGGUUGUCAGCAGGAUCGUGCAGAUGAGGUCAAAUCAUGAACAAACAUUUAAUUCACAGACUGCUAAAUGUAUUUUCCAUUGCGAUUUUUGUUGGUGUUUCCAAGAGAAAGUGAUAUAGGAUAUGCUAACAUAUAAAGAUGCAUACACUCAGUCUCCAAACGUUUAGGUAAAUAGACAUUACAAACCAUAUACAAUACAUGGGAAUCAUAAAAAAGUUCCCUUUCAUGAAGUGGCAGAUUCCCGGCACACAGUAUCCUGCCGUAGUAUUUUGCGAUCUCAGAGAUCGCCAUGGCGAGUGAUGUCAGUGGAAGUCGGCCAGGUACGGGGCGGGGCGGCCAGCGAGGGGGAGGCGGUUCGCGGCGACGCAUGUUUGUCUGCCCUCCACCAAUACCCACCUGUUGCAGGGCGUAGCUCCCUGGCACAGCUGGGGCCUGUUUUCUGAGCACCCAACCCCCUCCCCCCGCCUCCACUCCCUUUGUCCUCUCAGCCUGGCCUGCUGUUAUUUUAGACCCGGGAAACUUCCAGAAGCACCUGAAGAGCGUCAGCUAUCUGCCGCGCGGAGACGGGGCCCCGUGCCUGUCUUUACCUGCCGGGGCGAGACAAAGCGGGGGCCCAGACGAGCCGCGCGCCCUCGGUCGCACACCGAGCAAACCGAGCAUGCCCAGGUGCGCGCGCGGACCCGGCCUUCCAUCAACAUCCUGUCACGCCGGAGAUGUUUAUCCAAUUUGUCAAGAUAAUCUUUCCUUAAACAAGCGCUGGGGGAGCCGGGGCCCCAUUCCCUAUCGCGCCCGGCCUCUGAGUCGCAGACCUGCUUUUCCACCCCCCCGCCCCGGCCCUGCCCUCUU